AGUGCCUGCUGCAAAUUAUCAGUAAUAACAAUAAGUCUUUGUCACGUAAUGAGUUACCUUUCAGUCUCUCUGCAGUCUCUUUCCUCCCAAUGCCCCUUGGCUGCUCCCGAAGCCCUGACUCCUGACCUCCUGCCCCUUCUGUCUCCAGGGCCAUUAACUCCCCUGCUGAUCCCUAUCCAUGGAGCCCAUUGACAGAUGAGUUUGGUUCUGGACCUAAGAAGGACAGUUACAGACACAGAUACCUUUUAAGCCCUGCCCAUCCCUCGGCACACAUCUCAAAGAGGAACUGCCCCAUGAAGCAUUCCUGAUCCCCAGCCAGGUGUGAUGGUCUGUCCUGCGAGCCCCCCACAAGGUAGCCCCCUUCGGAUAUCUGGGACAGCUCUCGUGUCCUGUUGUGUCUUUCUCCAGUGUACACGUUCUAGGCUCUCACAGUGUUUUUCACUUCGUCCCAGCAAGGCUAUUGUUUUUAAGUGCUCUUGAAAGAACCUUCUCUGCAAGGUCAAAUAGAAAUGAGUAGUCAAGUUAGCACUGACCCGACCCCUCGCUGCAUCUCAGCAAGAGCAAAUACUUUCACAUCUCUCCAGCGGUGCAGAAAUAACUGGCAAGAGUCACAUUCACACACACACUUGCUCAAAUUAUGCCAAUAAAAGGAAGUUGCGAAAGUGUGAAGACAGCGUGAGGUUUCUGGUUUCGUAGAAAAACAGAGGGGUUAGCCCCCAAUUCAAAUUUUUUUUCUUUGAUCUAUGUUUAAAGAAAGCCCUG